rnacentral:rRNA from 1 species
GACGGAGGGUGCUAGCGUUGUUCGGAAUCACUGGGCGUAAAGGGCGCGUAGGCGGCGCCGCAAGUCGGCUGUGAAAGCCCGGGGCCCAACCCCGGAGGUGCAGCCGAGACUGUGGUGCUGGAGACCGGAAGAGGAGGGUGGAAUACCCAGUGUAGAGGUGAAAUUCGUAGAUAUUGGGUGGAACACCGGUGGCGAAAGCGGCUCUCUGGUCCGGUCCUGACGCUGAGGCGCGAAAGCGUGGGGAGCAAACAGG